rnacentral:rRNA from 1 species
UACGUAGGGGGCAAGCGUUGUCCGGAUUUAUUGGGCGUAAAGAGCGUGUAGGCGGCUAGGUAGGUCCGUUGUGAAAACUCGAGGCUCAACCUCGAGACGUCGAUGGAAACCAUCUAGCUAGAGUCCGGAAGAGGAGAGUGGAAUUCCUGGUGUAGCGGUGAAAUGCGCAGAUAUCAGGAAGAACACCAACGGCGAAGGCAGCUCGCUGGGACGGUACUGACGCUGAGACGCGAAAGCGUGGGGAGCGAACAGG